GUGGGGAAUAUUGGACAAUGGGCGAAAGCCUGAUCCAGCCAUGCCGCGUGUGUGAAGAAGGUCUUCGGAUUGUAAAGCACUUUAAGUUGGGAGGAAGGGCAGUAAGUUAAUACCUUGCUGUUUUGACGUUACCGACAGAAUAAGCACCGGCUAACUUCGUGCCAGCAGCCGCGGUAAUACGAAGGGUGCAAGCGUUAAUCGGAAUUACUGGGCGUAAAGCGCGCGUAGGUGGUUUUGUAAGUUGGAGGUGAAAUCCCCGGGCUCACCCUGGGAACUGCCUCCAAAACUGCAUGACUAGAGUACGGUAGAGGGUAGUGGAAUUUCCUGUGUAGCGGUGAAAUGCGUAGAUAUAGGAAGGAACACCAGUGGCGAAGGCGACUACCUGGACUGAUACUGACACUGAGGUGCGAAAGCGUGGGGAGCAAACAGGAUUAGAUACCCUAGUAGUCC
rnacentral:rRNA from 1 species